rnacentral:rRNA from 1 species
ACGUAGGUGGCAAGCGUUGUCCGAAAUUAUUGGGCGUAAAGCGCGCGCAGGCGGAUCUGUAAGUCUGUCUUAAAAGUUCGGGGCUCAACCCCGUGAGGGGAUAGAAACUGCAGAUCUUGAGUAUCGGAGAGGAAAGUGGAAUUCCUAGUGUAGCGGUGAAAUGCGUAGAGAUUAGGAAGAACACCAGUGGCGAAGGCGACUUUCUGGACGAACACUGACGCUGAGGCGCGAAAGCCAGGGGAGCGAACGG